rnacentral:tRNA from 1 species
GAAGGGGUGGCUGAGUGGCUUAAAGCGGUAGACUGUAAAUCUAUUGAUUAUAAUUUGAUCAUCGUAAGUUCGAAUCUUACCCCCUUUA